AUUGAACGCUGGCGGCAGGCUUAACACAUGCAAGUCGAACGAGUGGCGGACGGGUGAGUAAUGCUUGGGAAUCUAGCUUAUGGAGGGGGAUAACUACGGGAAACUGUAGCUACUACCGCGUACCAUAGGAUGAGCCCAAGGGGGAUUAGGUAGUUGGUGAGGUAAAGGCGCACCAAGCCGACGAUCUCCAGCUGGUCUGAGAGGAUGACCAGCCACACUGGGACUGAGAAACGGCGCAGACUCCUACGGGAGGCAGCAGUGGGGAAUAUUGCGCAAUGGGGGAAACCUGACGCAGCCAUGCCGAGUGAAUGAAGAAGGCCUUCGGGGUGUAAAGUUCUUUCGGUAGCGAGGCGUUAACUACAGAAGAAGCACCGGCUAACUCCGUGCCAGCGAACGCGGUGAAUC
rnacentral:rRNA from 1 species